ensembl:lncRNA
GGUAUAUUUAGAAAAUGAAAUAUUAAUCACCUCUGAAAAGAAAUGAGCUAUUACUAACUGCGUAUUACAUACUAAAUGCAUAUUACUAACUGAAAGAAGCCAACCUGGAAAGUUAUCUACUCUAUGAUUCCAAGUAUAUAACAUUCAGAAAAAUGCAAAACUAUGGAGAGUGAAAACAUUUGUGGUUUCCAGUGGUUAGGAAAAGAAAGGAUAAAUAAAUGGAGCACAAGAUUAUUACAGUAGUGAAAAUAUACUGCACGAUAUCAUAACAGCUAUAAUACAUUCAUCAUAUAUUUCAUUCUCGUUAUACAUUUUCCAAACCCUUAGAAUGUGUGCCACCAAGAGUAUCGCUCUGGGUGAUGAUGUGUCAGUGUAAGUUCACUGACUAUAAUAAAUAUUCUACUCUGGUGUAAGAGGUUGUUUGUGGAGUGACCCGAAAGUGUACAGGAAUUGAGGGUAUAUGGCAAUGCUGGACUCUGCACUCCAUAUUGCUGUACACUCAGAUCUACUCUAAAAUAAUAAUGAAUCUUUAAAAAUCUAUUACUAUCAUGUAGCCCUUUUAAAGUCUCCAACUGGUCUGAGCCCAUUCUAUUAAGUCUCAGAAAACACUCGUUAGUAACUAGCUCUAACCCAACUGGCAAGAAGAGGCAGAAAAGACCCAGGGCAGGGGAGUAUAUUGCACAUGCAUACACCAGGAAACUGGAGGAAGCUUGGAGGCCCUUGAGCCUGGUCCUGAGCCCAUUGAAACUGGAGUUAUAGGCACAGAUGCCUGGGCACUAAUCUGAAUUUGCCAACAUCCAAGGCCAUAUGAACACAAAUGCGCAGAGUCUCCACUGCAAUCUGUAGCUAAGGAUGUUAGGCCAUGAUUGGACUAGGAUGGGAGAUGAACUGAGGACAACAGAUUCUGUAGACUUUUGUUGCCUCUUCCCAGCCCCAAGCAUUUCACUCUUUCCUCUUGCCACAGGCAGCAGGGGGGCUCCCUAUGAACAUCAUCCCCACAGCCUAUAGUUGUGUCACCUUCAGUCUCUUAUACCCUCCUACGGCACAGUCAGUCAGGACAUCCAGCCUUGCAAACUCAAGGGUCCACACAUGGCCAAGAUAAUGGGGUGAGCAGAACCCUCACCUUUGAUCUGCAGACAAAUACCCCCUACCUUCUGGGCCUCUACCAGCAAUUGGAGGCCCUGGAAAUUUCCAGACACACACCAGUGUUCUGAACUGCAGGCUGCUGUCCCAUCCUAUGGCAGAGUAGACCUUUUCUUCUCCAGAAUUACCGUUAUCCAGUUGAAUGAAAUGUCUUUUUAACAUAGAAACAGGGCACAGAAACUAGUGUUCCUUGGCCCUGAAACCCAUCACACUGUCUGCAGGUAUACACCUGUCCUUAGCAAAUACCACAGAUUUGAGGAUUCAGUCCCUGGAGUGUGGUCAUUGGCUCUGCUUUCAGAAAACAUCAAGGUACCUUUGGCAAGUCUGCAGACUUCAUGAAGAAAAACAAAAACGUAAACAAAACCAAGUGAUGAACACGCACACACACACACACACACACACACCCCGCAAAGUAACUAACAGGAUGUCCCUCCAGGACAUUUGCAGAGAGGGGAGAAGAAAACAUCCCAGGGCCCUUUCACAGCUACUUCCUUGAGCCCCUUUUCUGACAGUGCUGUCUAGACCUGUCUCAGCCCAAGCACCGCCACCCUGAUAUGCAGGAGCUGGCUUCCUGACCUGAAAUUCAACAUCAAGAAAUGAUCUCUUGGCCAGGCGUGGUGGCUCAUGCCUAUAAUCCCAGCACUUUGGGAGGCUGAGGCAGGUGAAUUGCCUGAGGUCAGGAGUUUGAGACCAGCCUGACCGACAUGGUGAAACCUCAUCUCAACUAAAAAUUUAAAAAACUAGCAGGACGUGGUGGUGUGCCCCUGUAAUCUCAGCUACUUGGGAGGCUGAGGCAGGAGAAUCACUUGAACCUGGGACGCAGAGGUUGUAGUGAGCGGAGACUGGGCCAUUGCUCUCUAGCCUAGGCAACAAGAGCAAAAUUCCAUCUCAAAAAAAAAAAAAAAGAAAAA